rnacentral:rRNA from 1 species
GGUGAACGCUGGCGGCGUGCCUAAGACAUGCAAGUCGAGCGGGGCAGGUUUAUACCUGUUCAGCGGCGGACGGGUGAGUAACGCGUGGGUGACCUACCCGGAAGAGGCGGACAACCUGGGGAAACCCAGGCUAAUCCGCCAUGUGGUCCUGUCCUGUGGGGCAGGACUAAAGGGUGGAUAGCCCGCUUCCGGAUGGGCCCGCGGCCCAUCAGCUAGUUGGUGGGGUAAAGGCCCACCAAGGCGACGACGGGUAGCCGGUCUGAGAGGAUGACCGGCCACAGGGGCACGGAGACACGGGCCCCACUCCUACGGGAGGCAGCAGUUAGGAAUCGUCCGCAAUGGGCGCAAGCCUGACGGAGCGACGCCGCUGGGAGGAGGAAGCCCUUCGGGGUGUAAACUCCUGAACUGGGGACGAAAGCCCCGUGUAGGGGGAUGACGGGACCCAGGUAAGAGCGCCGGCCAACUCCGUG